CUACGUAGGGGGCGAGCGUUGUCCGGAAUGACUGGGCGUAAAGGGCGUGUAGGCGGCCGAUUAAGUCUGGAGUGAAAGUCCUGCAUUCAAUGUGGGAAUUGCUUUGGAGACUGGUUGGCUUGAGUGCGGAAGAGGUAAGUGGAAUUCCCAGUGUAGCGGUGAAAUGGGUAGAGAUUGGGAGGAACACCAGUGGCGAAGGCGACUUACUGGGCCGUAACUGACGCUGACGCGCGAAAGCGUGGGGAGCGAACAGGAUUAGAUACCCUGGUAGUCCACGCGGUAAACGAUGAAUGCUAGGUGUUGCGGGUAUCGACCCCUGCAGUGCCGGAGUAAACACAAUAAGCAUUCCGCCUGGGGAGUACGGCCGCAAGGUUGAAACUCAAAGGAAUUGACGGGG
rnacentral:rRNA from 1 species